UUUUUUUGCAGCACUUCUCACUGGCUUAAAACUGGGAGACUUUGUUAAAGUUCUCACCAGCUUCAAACUAGAUGACCUGGUUAAUGUUCCCGUUGGUCUACUACUUGAAGCAGAGCUAAGUUUUGAAUUACUUGAAUUUCUUCGACGCAGGUUCUUACAAUCCGAAGCAGUUGUAGCAUUCAAGGAACUCACCUGAGAACGCUCCUUUCUUGCCUCAGAACUGGUAGUAGCCUUCAUGUAAUUUGGUGAUCCACCAGUUGUUCU
rnacentral:misc_RNA from 1 species